rnacentral:misc_RNA from 1 species
UCCACGCGCCACGCCGGCUCAUUGGCCGGACCUGGAAGUUCGAGGGAUUCGAUCUGCGCGGGUGUCGCGCGCCGGGCACCGGCGUCGGUCAGACCCGUAUCGAACAUCGAAAAACUCACAGCGGCAUUGGCUCCGCGCCCUAUCAAAAUGUCAUCGAUCUUUUUUUCGACGAGCAGGGCGACGAGCGAAUCCACUGGCGAAAGUGUGGCGGCUACUUCGCGCGGGACUUGCGCCGCUUCUGCGGCCGCCAGCGCAGCCACCCAUGCGGCGGCCUCCACCGCGGGCGUUCCCCCGCCUGGCACAUAGCCAAUAACCAGUGGUGACGGCGGCGGCGGAGCGGGCACGAUGGCAAUGCUCUGCGACGCGUACAUCACUACCCCAUCCCGUCUUCGCGAUUCCAUGAUGGCGCCGUCGUUAGGGAAAUGAAACGCGUCCCGCGCGGCACCGCGAGGUUUUCGAUCACGGUGCUGUCAGUGGCCGGUAUCAUGCCGGGUACGAUGCGCGUCGCCAUGAGCGUGCCCGCGCUAUCGAUGGCAUCGACUCGUGUGCCCGGUUGCGGAAAUAACGUGGGGUCCGGCCCGCCCCCGCGCCAUGAACGCAGUGUAGCCGUGAGAUUGACACCAGUGUUAGCGGCGCGCGGCGGCAUGGGUAGAAUGGCGGGCGGCGCCGGCCGCGGCGGAUCGGCGGCGUUCGUUGGAUCGGUGCCGGCCAGCAAUUCGGUAUCGUCGCUCCAUGUGUCCCCGUCACUGUCAGGACCGCCGAGUGGGUUGAGACCGUUAGCCAAUUCCACAAAGUCCGGCACGCCAUCGUGAUCGGAAUCGAGGAACGGGCCAUCCAUGGCAAACGUAAAGCUGGCGGUGCGCAACGCGGAGGUUCUCAGCAGGCCAUCGAUGCCAUAGUAAUGAACCGUCGCACUUUCCGUCAGCCAUUGCGGGUUGCCGGCCCAUGCCUGCCAUGCGCCCGCGCCGAUGCGGAAAAAGACCGAUACGCCGGCCGGUGCGGAGAAGCUGAGUCUUUGCGCCGUGU